CGGAGGGUGCAAGCGUUAUCCGGAUUUACUGGGUUUAAAGGGUGCGUAGGUGGGCGAGAAAGUCAGUGGUGAAAUCUCCGGGCUUAACCCGGAAACUGCCAUUGAUACUAUUUGUCUUGAAUACUUUGGAGGUAAGCGGAAUAUGUCAUGUAGCGGUGAAAUGCUUAGAUAUGACAUAGAACACCAAUUGCGCAGGCAGCUUACUACACAGUAAUUGACACUGAGGCACGAAAGCGUGGGGAUCAAACAGGAUUAGAUACCCUGGUAGUCCACGCCCUAAACGAUGGAUACUUGACAUUAGCGAUAUACAGUUAGUGUCUGAGCGAAAGCAUUAAGUAUCCCACCUGGGAAGUACGAUCGCAAGAUUG
rnacentral:rRNA from 1 species